GAGUAGAAAGGAGGGAUGGUUGGCACCCCCCCGACAGGGACGGGAACAGCCUUCAGGCUUUACCUGUUAUCAGACACAUCCGGUUAAGGCUAUCCUCUUUGGCUGAUCAACCCAACUUUUUUU